GUGAACGCUGGCGGUAGGCCUCACACCUGCAAGUCGAACGGCAGCACAGUAAGAGCUUGCUCUUACGGGUGGCGAGUGGCGGACGGGUGAGGAAUACAUCGGAAUCUACUUUUUCGUGGGGGAUAACGUAGGGAAACUUACGCUAAUACCGCAUACGACCUACGGGUGAAAGCAGGGGAUCUUCGGACCUUGCGCGAUUGAAUGAGCCGAUGUCGGAUUAGCUAGUUGGCGGGGUAAAGGCCCACCAAGGCGACGAUCCGUAGCUGGUCUGAGAGGAUGAUCAGCCACACUGGAACUGAGACACGGUCCAGACUCCUACGGGAGGCAGCAGUGGGGAAUAUUGGACAAUGGGCGCAAGCCUGCUCCAGCCAUACCGCGUGGGUGAAGAAGGCCUUCGGGUUGUAAAGCCCUUUUGUUGGGAAAGAAAAGCAGCAGGUUAAUACCCCGCUGUUCUGACGGUACCCAAAGAAUAAGCACCGGCUAACUUCGUG
rnacentral:rRNA from 1 species